UACGUAGGGUGCAAGCGUUGUCCGGAAUUAUUGGGCGUAAAGAGCUCGUAGGCGGUCUGUCGCGUCUGCUGUGAAAACUCAGGGCUUAACCCUGAGCUUGCAGUGGGUACGGGCAGACUAGAGUGCGGUAGGGGAGACUGGAAUUCCUGGUGUAGCGGUGAAAUGCGCAGAGAUCGGGAAGAACACCAGUGGCGAAGGCGGUCUGCUGGGCCGUUGCUGACGCUGGAGGUGCG
rnacentral:rRNA from 1 species